UGCAGUCGAACGGUAACAGUUUUUGCUUGCUAGAAGAUGACGAGUGGCGGACGGGUGAGUAAUGCUUGGGAACUUGCCUUUGCGAGGGGGAUAACAGUUGGAAACGACUGCUAAUACCGCAUAAUGUCUUCGGACCAAACGGGGCUUCGGCUCCGGCGCAAAGAGAGGCCCAAGUGAGAUUAGCUAGUUGGUAAGGUAACGGCUUACCAAGGCGACGAUCUCUAGCUGUUCUGAGAGGAAGAUCAGCCACACUGGGACUGAGACACGGCCCAGACUCCUACGGGAGGCAGCAGUGGGGAAUAUUGCACAAUGGGGGAAACCCUGAUGCAGCCAUGCCGCGUGUGUGAAGAAGGCCUUCGGGUUGUAAAGCACUUUCAGUUGUGAGGAAAAGUUAGUAGUUAAUACCUGCUAACCGUGACGUUAACAACAGAAGAAGCACCGGCUAACUCCGUGCCAGCAGCCGCGGUAAUACGGAGGGUGCGAGCGUUAAUCGGAAUUACUGGGCGUAAAGCGCACGCAGGCGGUUUGUUAAGCUAGAUGUGAAAGCCCCGGGCUCAACCUGGGAUGGUCAUUUAGAACUGGCAGACUAGAGUCUUGGAGAGGGGAGUGGAAUUCCAGGUGUAGCGGUGAAAUGCGUAGAUAUCUGGA
rnacentral:rRNA from 1 species